GUGGGGAAUCUUGCGCAAUGGGCGAAAGCCUGACGCAGCCAUGCCGCGUGAAUGAUGAAGGUCUUAGGAUUGUAAAAUUCUUUCACCGGGGACGAUAAUGACGGUACCCGGAGAAGAAGCUCCGGCUAACUUCGUGCCAGCAGCCGCGGUAAUACGAAGGGGGCUAGCGUUGCUCUGAAUUACUGGGCGUAAAGGGCGCGUAGGCGGACAGCUUAGUCAGAGGUGAAAGCCCAGGGCUCAACCUUGGAAUUGCCUUUGAUACUGGCUGUCUUGAGUUUGGGAGAGGUGAGUGGAACUCCGAGUGUAGAGGUGAAAUUCGUAGAUAUUCGGAAGAACACCAGUGGCGAAGGCGACUCACUGGCCCAAUACUGACGCUGAGGCGCGAAAGCGUGGGGAGCAAACAGGAUUAGAAACCCGGGUAGUCC
rnacentral:rRNA from 1 species